UCCCUGGUGGCUCAGAUGGUAAAGCAUCUGCCUACCAUGCAGGAGACCGGGGUUUGAUCCCUGGGUGGGGAA
rnacentral:tRNA from 1 species